rnacentral:rRNA from 1 species
GGUUGUCGUCAGCUCGUGUCGUGAGAUGUGGUUAAGUCCGCAACGAGCGCAACCCUUAUUGCUAGUUACCAUCAUUGAGUUGGGGACUCUAGCGAGACUGCCAGCGAUAAGCUGGAGGAAGGUGGGGAUGACGUCAAAUCAUCAUGCCCCUUAUGACCUGGGCUACAAACGUGAUACAAUGGCUGGAACAAAGGGAGGCGAAGGGUGACCUGGAGCGAAACCCAAAAAUACAGUCUCAGUUCGGAUUGAAGUCUGCAACUCGACUUCAUGAAGUCGGAAUCGCUAGUAAUCGCGGAUCAGCAUGCCGCGGUGAAUACGUUCCCGGGCCUU